AUUAAGAACCCCAGCUUUAAAGUUCAAGAUAAAGAAAUAUUUGCGAUUUACGAUGUUCCACAUAUGAUUAACUCGCUAAGGAACAUUGUCCGAAAUAUAAAUCUUUAUACCCCUGAUGUCGUUGUUUUAUGGAAAAUAGUCGAAGAACUUUAUGAAAUCGAUUCCAGAAAUUCAACGCGACUCUGCCCGAAAAUAGCAACAAAGCAUAUACAUAUAUCCAAAUAGCUUUGAAGGUCAAAGCUGCCAAUCAAGUGUUUAGCCAUAGUGUGGCCGCGGCUCUUCGAACAAUGAUUAGUUCUGGAGGCUUCUUAAAGUGCAAAGAAAAUGCAGUUUGACCAGCGCCGUUAAUAUUGUGAGAGCUUCAUCAUUACAAUUCCAAAACUAAAAAAAUACACUCUUUUACCAUCGAACCUCCGUAGUGUCAGCGGCUCACUUCAUUUCACUUACGGUUGCCGCCUCCCUCCAUGUGACACUGAAGUUUUCAGUGGGGACUACCAGCAGUUACCCACGUUCCGAGACCUGUUCACCGCCAUCUACAUAGAAAACCCAAGGUUGGCUCCAGUGGAAAAACUGUUCCACCUCAACAAAAAGACCAGCGGUGAAGCCCACGACAUAGUGGCACAGGCUCCACUUACGAACGAGGGUUUCGCGUCCGCAUGGAACGCCCUCCGUGAGCGUUUCCAAAACAAGAGGCUGAUACUCAAGGCCCAGCUGAAGAUCCUUUUCAGUCUGCCCCAAAUCCGUACCGAGUCAGCAGCAGCGC